AUUUUUUCCAACUUAUUGUGCCGAUUUUUUUUCUGAACCCUAACCAGCACUUGUUGCCGCCGUUCUUACUCUUCAUCGCCCAUGCAUUGCUGUCGCCGGCGCUGCCAGCCGACACCUUCCUAUCUCGACCAGUCAGAGAACAACCUUCGUCGACCUCCAUCGCGCUUCUCCGCUUCUCCUCCACGAUUCCUCUGCAGCACCACCUCUGCCAUGAUUCCUCCGCAACCUUAAAACCUUUACAAUUGCAGGAAUGGUAGAGGCAAAAGAGACUGAAGCUAGGAAGCAUACGACGUGAAUCAAUGAUAUGAAGAAGGAUUCUUUGCACAAAACAGGGUGCGUUCGGAGUUGGGAUUGGCAAUUUCCAAGAGAUUGGACCGAUGGACACCAACCUCAAGCCUCAUAACUCGACAUGGCUGCAAAAGGCCGAUCUCCUCUUCGUGGAGAAUCCAGUGGGAACAGGGUUCAGCUUCGUGGAGGAGGAGAGCUUGCUAGAGAAGAGCGAUUGGGAGGCGGCGGCAAACUUGAUUGCACUUCUGAAGAAACUCUACCAUGGGAACGCAGCCAUGCAGCGAAGAACAAAACCCUCUUCUUCGUGCAGUCUUACUGCGGCCGGUUUGCCGUGACAACAGCGUUGUCAGUUCUCCACGCCAUCAGAGCUAGACAACUAAAGCUCAAGCCCGAAGGUGUUGCAUUGGGGAAUAACUGGAUGUCACCUAAGGACUACGUGGUAUCUCGAAUUCUCAAUCAAUCUAUUUUCUUUCAACUAAGCAACGAAAGUAACCUCAAAUCGCCAUGCAUCUUUCAUGGGGGCCUCUGCUCCGAGACAUGUUGAGGCUCGACGCAACCGAUACAGAAAAAUCAAAUAAGUAGAGUAAGUCUUUCUUUAAUUAUGCUGGAUUCUCGUUGCCUCAUAUAAUCUACAUGCUUAAUAAAUCUGUUAUUAUGGCUCGAGAGAUCAAAGAAGAGAUCGACAAUGGUGAGCUUGUCAAUGCCGCAAAUACUUGAAUUUAUGGAGACAUUUCUUAUUCUUGAUCUACAUCAAGUCAUGAUCAUGGUAGAUCCGGAUGCCUCGUGCCUAAGCGAACCUGCCCUAAGGGAAUAUUUGCACCGGUGACAGGUACUUGGAUUUUGCAUAUGAUGGUUGAAGAUGGUUGAUAGUAAAUUAGUUGAGUUUUUAUUUUAUAAGACUUUGUUAGCUUUAAAAAUCAAUGAUUUGUUAGUAUUAAGUUAGCAUUGGAUUCAAUACUUUUACAUUAGUAUUGUAUUUGUACUUUUGUGAUGAUGGGAUGAAUUGUGAUGAUAUGGUGAAUGAAUUGGAUAUUUUGGAUGUAAAA